UUUUUGUUAGCAGCAUGUACACUAAAACUGGAAUGAUACAGAGAAGAUGAGCACGGUCCCUGUGUGAGGAUGGCACACAAAUUUGUGAAGCUUUCCAUAUUUUU
ensembl:snRNA U6 U6 spliceosomal RNA